AGGUCCUUCUGACUCUUUAUCCACUAAGCCACGCUUCAUCUUCAGAUGUGUGGGCAACAGGAUGGGACAAAAUGUGAAAAACAGCAUGCAGGCAGUUUAUGAGAUGAAAGCAAGAAACUCCCUAUUAUGGCAUAAUACUAUUUCCGAACUGGCUGCUUUUUCCCACACGGAUUGGGACGGCGGGAGGAGGGACGAUUCCGGAGGUCCCCGAAAAAGGAGGAUGGUUCCAUUCAUUCAAUCGUAUUUAUUGAGAGCUUACUCUGUGCAGAGCAGUGUGGCUCAGUGG